CCCGCUGAACUUAAGCAUAUCAGUAAGCAGAGGAAAAGAAACCAACAGGGAUUUCCUUAGUAACUGCGAGUGAAAAGGGAAGAGCUCAGCGCUAAAGCUUGAUUUUUCACGAAUUCGAGCGGUGUGGCGUUUGGAGAGUCCGAUCUGUUGUGAGUGUGCGGCCUAAAUUUCGCUGGAACGCGAUUGCAGAGAUGGUUUUACACCAGUCUGGCCGUGCACUGCAGCAGAAUGGUCGCUCUAGGAGUCGGGUUGUUUGGAAACGCAGCCCAAAGCGGGUGGUAAACUUCACCUAAAGCUAAAUAUGGCUACGAGACCGAUAGCAACCAAGUACUGUGAAAGGAAAGUUGAAAGCACUUUGAAAAGAGAGUGCAAGAGAACGUGAAACCGUUAUAGUGGAAGCGGAUGGAGCCGACGUAUCCAGUGUGCAUUCAGUUCGGGUUGGCUGUGUGCGGUUUGGUGGGGUUCUGCAAAGUCCCUUCCAGGCCUUUACACUUUCAAUACGGAUGCAUUUGUGCACAGAGUGCGCCGAAUCGGUUGGUUGUGCUGUUCGAGGGGUGUGAAGAGGACCAACUUGUUGGAAACUUUCACAUUCGGAAGACAGAUGCGGCUAAUUGUUGAAGAAGAGUUGGUGAAUUCGUGGUGGCAGUUUCUGUCACUGAUCGACUCUCUAUUCGGUGUCUAGUCGGUCACCCAUUUGACCCGUCUUGAAACACGG
rnacentral:rRNA from 1 species